rnacentral:lncRNA from 1 species
CAAACAGCCAACUUCUUCCUAGACUUUCCUAAUAAUAACUCAUUUCCAUAUGGGAUCUAUUUUUGAAGUAAACUACCAGCUCCACUCACUAGGAAGAGUCUUGCUAAGGACAAAUAUGUUUGAUUCUGAAUCUAUAUUCCUUCUUUUCAUGCAAGCAAUCGACUAUUUUAUCAUGUGAAACUUUUUCUCAAGGGCUCCUCCUUUCCAAAGAAAAUCUCUUUGAAUUUUCCCAAGUCUCAACUUACUUUUCUUGGAAUUUCAAACUAUGACAUAAACAAAUUAGCAUGCUAGAUAAGAAUUUUUGUUUAUGCAUAGCUAGCCUUUUGCGAAAUCUCUCUUGCAGCACAGGAGAUUUAUCCCUAAACAACUAGGAUAAAGUGAAAGAAGGCAUCCUCCUUUGAUCAUGAAAAGACAGCUAUAACCCCUUGAAUCCUCUAUCCAUAAAGAAUCGAAGGACGUCCCCUUGAUACUAGGUCCCUAAUCCCCUAGAUUAUAUAAGAGACUUUGAAAGGAAUUAGACACCUCCUUAAUUUCAACAUCCUCUAUGAGCCAAAAACCAUUCACUCUUGUUCUAGUCAUGUAAUUGCUUCCUCUAUGAACAUCAGCCAUUUUGGGGAAAAAUUUGGUCUUUUUAUUCUCCUUCUUCAACCAAACCCUCCAGACUUCUGCCUAUGAGAAGUUUUUUUCUUCUUUUUUUUCCAAGCAUAGCCAGCUUAUUCUUCCACUACCACCCUUCUAGCUUCAUCCUCUUAACAAAGUACGUAGCUUACCUCUCCUUUCAAUUCAAAAAACAUCAAUUCCUUCCUAACUGCGACACUACUCUUUGUUCCAAGCUUUUAGGUCCAUCUCCAAGGCUUUGAGUUUAGAGGCCAGAAUAUAGCUAAAAAAACCCCUUGAAGCUUCCAAGCAUGUGUUUUAGUGUUAUCUCAUUGCAGCUCUUCUCUUAGUUGUAGUUUACUUAUGAAUAAUGCAUGAAAAAAUUGUUCCUCAAAGGUCCUAUCCAGCCCUUGUCUAUAUGUUCUAUUAAAAGACUCUUUAUACCAGAGUGUGAACUAAUUUGUUUGCAUGUAAGAGUUUAUUGCUGCAGGCUAGGUUUUGGAGAUGAUUCCAUCUGUAAGUUAAAGAUCAAAAAUGAUGGUGGACUUGUGCUACCAGUACAGCCAACUACACUGACUGAAGUAAUGUGAUCUUUUUGCAGUACAUAUUCUUCUGAUUAACCUAAGGUUACUAAGGUUCAGCAUACAUACAAAAGACUAGUAGUCACACAAGCCAUGUCUCGGCAAAGCACUUAUGUAGGAAACAAUUCAAUUCUUCAUUAAGAGGCCCAUUAAAAGAAGAAAUUGCCGACAACCUUAACCUUUUCUUGAUGUAAUAAACAAAUUUUAGGCAUACAACCAAAAAACUCAAUUUUCCAUUCAAAACUUCAAAAAAAUUCAAUAAACCCUGCUAUGAUGUUAUAGACAAUUUUCACAUCCUCAAUAACAUACAACAUUUACAAUAAAAAACAAACAUCAUAUUUAGAUGGGCUAUUACAAUUUCCUAUAAAAAAAUUUGAACAAGAAUAUCAAAAGAGAGUACAAAUUAAUUUGUUUGCAUGUAAGAGUUUAUUGCUGCAGGCUAGGUUUUGGAGAUGAUUCCAUCUAUAAGUUAAAGAUCAAAAAUGAUGGUGGACUUGUGCUACCAGUACAGCCAACUACACUGACUGAAGUAAUGUGAUCUUUUUGCAGUACAUAUUCUUCUGAUUAACCUAAGGUUACUAAGGUUCAUCAUACAUACAAAAGACUAGUAGUGACACAAGCCAUGUCUCGGCAAAGCACUUAUGUAGGAAACAAUUCAAUUCUUCAUUAAGAGGCCCAUUAAAAGAAGAAAUUGCCGACAACCUUAACCUUUUCUUGAUGUAAUAAACAAAUUUUAGGCAUACAACCAAAAAACUCAAUUUUCCAUUCAAAACUUCAAAAAAAUUCAAUAAACCCUGCUAUGAUGUUAUAGACAAUUUUCACAUCCUCAAUAACAUACAACAUUUACAAUAAAAAACAAACAUCAUAUUUAGAUGGGCUAUUACAAUUUCCUAUAGAAAAUUUGAACAAGAAUAUCAAAAGAGAUAAGUCUCUAACAGCUACAGGUCUUAAUGUACACUUGCUAUGGAACUAACUAUGACUUCCUUGACAAUGUCAAAGCAUAUGUACAAGUAGUUAGUUUGCAUGCAAUCUUUGCAAGUGUCAGUCUGAUACUCUAACAAAUGGUAGCAGUAAAGACAAGUCUUAAAAAGUGGUCAACAUAAGCAAGCUUGAUGUUUUAUGAAAUAACAUUUGUCUGGGGGGCAUUUUAUGUUGGCAAGUUCAUCUGACUUAGUUGGUGUACUUGGCUUGGGAUGAAAUAGGAUCACCAAAAGAGCUAGACCUCCAAUCCCCAAGGGAAAAAGGUUAUGUCUCCAAGAUCAGUCAUUGCAAAUUUCUGUAGAGAGUUGAGAUGCUUGAUGAAAACUGGAAGGGCUCAACAUUUGAUUCACAGUGAACUGGGUGGUAUUUGUGGUGUUUGUGGAAGUGCCCAUCAAGAACUAUAGAAGGGUUAACAACUAAAUUGAAGGUUUCUGUAGAAUUGAGGCCUGGAGGGAUAUAUAUUCAUCUGCAUCCGGACAAAAUAUUUUCAUCCAAGGAUGAGCUAGGGCAAACAUCAAUGUUAUUUUAAUACAAAGGAAGGUCUUGAAAUUCAAAUCAUGCAUGGAAGACAUCAUCCAGGAAAUACAAGCUGUGAGUUAAUCAUACAAAUGAACAGAAAUGCAAAAGGAGUAUAUAGUAUGUUUGAUAGAAAAAUAGCCUUUGGCUUGCAACCUUUGUCUUGUGGUCUACUGGUGAGGGGGCUAACAAGAUGGAUAACUUGUCGGUACAAGGUGAAGGAUCAACAACAAGAGUGAUAGCAGUGAGCCCCGACAGAUUACUAAUCAUUGUUCAGAAUGAUCAUGCAUGAGUGUUAAAUAGAAGAUAGGGUAUUUCUACAAUCUGACCGAGGUAAUUUUAAGGAAUGUUAAAUAGAAAAUAUUGUACAAUCAUAGUUUGAAGUAAACAAC